AGAGUUUGAUCCUGGCUCAGGACGAACGCUGGCGGCGUGCCUAAUACAUGCAAGUCGAACGCUUCUUUUUCCACCGGAGCUUGCUCCACCGGAAAAAGAAGAGUGGCGAACGGGUGAGUAACACGUGGGUAACCUGCCCAUCAGAAGGGGAUAACACUUGGAAACAGGUGCUAAUACCGUAUAACAAUCAAAACCGCAUGGUUUUGAUUUGAAAGGCGCUUUCGGGUGUCGCUGAUGGAUGGACCCGCGGUGCAUUAGCUAGUUGGUGAGGUAACGGCUCACCAAGGCCACGAUGCAUAGCCGACCUGAGAGGGUGAUCGGCCACAUUGGGACUGAGACACGGCCCAAACUCCUACGGGAGGCAGCAGUAGGGAAUCUUCGGCAAUGGACGAAAGUCUGACCGAGCAACGCCGCGUGAGUGAAGAAGGUUUUCGGAUCGUAAAACUCUGUUGUUAGAGAAGAACAAGGAUGAGAGUAACUGUUCAUCCCUUGACGGUAUCUAACCAGAAAGCCACGGCUAACUACGUGCCAGCAGCCGCGGUAAUACGUAGGUGGCAAGCGUUGUCCGGAUUUAUUGGGCGUAAAGCGAGCGCAGGCGGUUUCUUAAGUCUGAUGUGAAAGCCCCCGGCUCAACCGGGGAGGGUCAUUGGAAACUGGGAGACUUGAGUGCAGAAGAGGAGAGUGGAAUUCCAUGUGUAGCGGUGAAAUGCGUAGAUAUAUGGAGGAACACCAGUGGCGAAGGCGGCUCUCUGGUCUGUAACUGACGCUGAGGCUCGAAAGCGUGGGGAGCAAACAGGAUUAGAUACCCUGGUAGUCCACGCC
rnacentral:rRNA from 1 species